AUGGAGGGCCUCCUACACUGGGACUUCUCGCCCGGCCUUGCGGUCGUGGCUCAGGUGCGUCGCCGUUUUGGAUCUUCUGUUCACUUCUCCCCCUCUGGAUCGACCAAGGAAUUUUUUUUGGUCGUAUACUUUUUGUCGGCCUCCUUUUGUCUUUCUGAAGAAUCAGUGGCCAUUGCUCUACAAUGCUCGGGGGUCUCCCUUCUGGUGUAA
rnacentral:rRNA from 1 species